rnacentral:rRNA from 1 species
AUUGAACGCUGGCGGCAGGCCUAACACAUGCAAGUCGAGCGGAUGAAGGGAGCUUGCUCCUGGAUUCAGCGGCGGACGGGUGAGUAAUGCCUAGGAAUCUGCCUGGUAGUGGGGGAUAACGUCCGGAAACGGGCGCUAAUACCGCAUACGUCCUGAGGGAGAAAGUGGGGGAUCUUCGGACCUCACGCUAUCAGAUGAGCCUAGGUCGGAUUAGCUAGUUGGUGGGGUAAAGGCCUACCAAGGCGACGAUCCGUAACUGGUCUGAGAGGAUGAUCAGUCACACUGGAACGGAGACACGGUCCAGACUCCUACGGGAGGCAGCAGUGGGGAAUAUUGGACAAUGGGCGAAAGCCGGAUCCAGCCAUGCCGCGUGUGUGAAGAAGGUCUUCGGAUUGUAAAGCACUUUAAGUUGGGAGGAAGGUCAGUAAGUUAAUACCUUGCUGUUUUGACGUUACCAACAGAAUAAGCACCGGCUAACUUCGUG